rnacentral:tRNA from 1 species
GGCGGCGUAGCUCAGUUGGCAGAGCACACGGCUCAUAUCCGUUAGGUCAUUGGUUCAACCCCAAUCGCCGCUA